rnacentral:rRNA from 1 species
AGCGAACGCUGGCGGCAGGCCUAACACAUGCAAGUCGAACGAAGUCUUCGGACUUAGUGGCGGACGGGUGAGUAACACGUGGGAACGUGCCUUUAGGUUCGGAAUAACUCAGGGAAACUUGUGCUAAUACCGAAUGUGCCCUUCGGGGGAAAGAUUUAUCGCCUUUAGAGCGGCCCGCGUCUGAUUAGCUAGUUGGUGAGGUAAUGGCUCACCAAGGCUACGAUCAGUAGCUGGUCUGAGAGGAUGACCAGCCACAUUGGGACUGAGACACGGCCCAAACUCCUACGGGAGGCAGCAGUGGGGAAUCUUGCGCAAUGGGCGAAAGCCUGACGCAGCCAUGCCGCGUGAAUGAUGAAGGUCUUAGGAUUGUAAAAUUCUUUCACCGGGGACGAUAAUGACGGUACCCGGAGAAGAAGCCCCGGCUAACUUCGUGCCAGCAGCCGCGGUAAGAC